UACAGAGGUGGCAAGCGUUGUUCGGAAUUACUGGGCGUAAAGGGCGCGUAGGCGGUCCCGUAAGUCCUGUGUGAAAUCCCUCGGCUCAACCGAGGAACUGCACAGGAAACUGCGGGACUUGAGUUCGGGAGAGGGAAGCGGAAUUCCGGGUGUAGCGGUGAAAUGCGUAGAUAUCCGGAGGAACACCGGUGGCGAAGGCGGCUUCCUGGACCGACACUGACGCUGAGGCGCGAAAGCCAGGGGAGCAAACGGG
rnacentral:rRNA from 1 species